rnacentral:tRNA from 1 species
GCCGCAGUAGCUCAGUGGUAGAGCGCACCCUUGGUAAGGGUGAGGUCGACAGUUCAAUCCUGUCCUGCGGCACCA